GGUAACAGGUGUAGCAAUACAUGCUGACGAGCGGCGGACGGGUGAGUAACGCUUGGGAAUCUGCCUGUUAGUGGGGGACAACCCGGGGAAACUCGGGCUAAUACCGCAUACGCACUACGGUGGAAAGCCGGGGACCGCAAGGCCUGGCGCUAACAGAUGAGCCCAAGUCGGAUUAGCUAGUUGGUAGGGUAACGGCCUACCAAGGCGACGAUCCGUAACUGGUCUGAGAGGACGACCAGYCACACCGGAACUGAGACACGGUCCGGACUCCUACGGGAGGCAGCAGUGGGGAAUAUUGGACAAUGGGGGCAACCCUGAUCCAGCGACGCCGCGUGGGUGAAGAAGGCCUGCGGGUUGUAAAGCCCUUUCGGUUGGGAAGAAAAGUUGCGGKUUAAUACAUCGCGACCUUGACGUAACCAACUAAAGAAGCACCGGCUAACUCUGUGCCAGCAGCCGCGGUAAUA
rnacentral:rRNA from 1 species